GACGAACGCUGGCGGCGUGCCUAAUACAUGCAAGUUGAGCGCUGAAGGUUGGUACUUGUACCAACUGGAUGAGCAGCGAACGGGUGAGUAACGCGUGGGGAAUCUGCCUUUGAGCGGGGGACAACAUUUGGAAACGAAUGCUAAUACCGCAUAAAAACUUUAAACACAAGUUUUAAGUUUGAAAGAUGCAAUUGCAUCACUCAAAGAUGAUCCCGCGUUGUAUUAGCUAGUUGGUGAGGUAAAGGCUCACCAAGGCGAUGAUACAUAGCCGACCUGAGAGGGUUAUCGGCCACAUUGGGACUGAGACACGGCCCAAACUCCUACGGGAGGCAGCAGUAGGGAAUCUUCGGCAAUGGACGAAAGUCUGACCGAGCAACGCCGCGUGAGUGAAGAAGGUUUUCGGAUCGUAAAACUCUGUUGGUAGAGAAGAACGUUGGUGAGAGUGGAAAGCCCAUCAAGUGACGGUAACUACCCAGAAAGGGACGGCUAACUACGUG
rnacentral:rRNA from 1 species